GACGGAGGGGGCUAGCGUUGUUCGGAAUUACUGGGCGUAAAGCGUGCGCAGGCGGUUAUGUAAGACAGGUGUGAAAUCCCCGGGCUUAACCUGGGAACUGCAUUUGUGACUGCAUAGCUAGAGUACGGCAGAGGGGGAUGGAAUUCCGCGUGUAGCAGUGAAAUGCGUAGAUAUGCGGAGGAACACCGAUGGCGAAGGCAAUCCCCUGGACCUGUACUGACGCUCAUGCACGAAAGCGUGGGGAGCAAACAGG
rnacentral:rRNA from 1 species